rnacentral:lncRNA from 1 species
GAGAAGAAGAGCAAAACUCUAGUUUGAGUGUCAAAGAGAGUUAGAGAGUGAGAAGCUCAGUUAGAGCAUUCAGAGAGUGAGGGUGUAGAGAGAAAUAAACAGUUAGUUUAUUUCUCAGUUGAGAGUUUGUAAUCUCCAUAUUAUUUUCAUAAUGAUUUUCUGAGAUCUCUUCCCGUGGUUUUUCUCAGUUGGGUUUCCACGUAAAAUUCUUGUGUUAUUAUUUUAUAUCUCAUACAGUAGUGUAUUUGUAUUUAUCUUAGUGUAUUUGUGUGAGCUUGAUUUUUCAAUAUAAAUUAAAAUAAAUUUUUCUUUCUAAAAUAGAAACGGAGGGAGUAUUCAUUAAAAACAUGAACGAUGCAAGUCACCUGAAAUUGAAAUAACUGAUGUUGAAGUUUUGGAUGCAAGACAAGGCCAUCCUUAACUGCAGGUAACACCAUAGAAUUUGUAAACUCAUGAUUAUGAUAUGAUAGGUAGACAAUAAUUUCACAGUUUUUGGCAAUAAUGGUAAUUACUCAUCAUUUAAUUAAUAUUAGUACAUCCCUAUAUUAAUAUAUAUCGUUGUAUAACAUUAAAUAUAAUAUUAAUUGUUUAUAAUAUCUUUAAAUUUUUAUAAUUAUCAUACUUAUCGCACACUCUCUCAUUCAUAAUAUUUUUUUACGAGGGGUAAUUUUAGAAAUAUUGUAAUUAAUUCUACUAAAUUAUAUAAAAUAACAAAUAAUUAAAAAAAAAAAUUCAUCUAAAACGACAGAACAUUUUUACCUGGAGUUGAAAAACUAGUCCUUUUUGAAACAUUGGAGGAAGCCUCAACUAAAAAGGGCAUAUAUUUGUAAGAGACAAGGUUGACUUCUUCCUUUGUAUCAAAUUCUUGCUUACUUGAAAUAAUACUCUUAGCUUUUGGUGCAUCACUUGAUUCCCUGCAUUGGUGACAUUAUUCAAAAAAAAAAAAAAAAUCUCAUUAAUUAUUUAUCUGAAAUUCUUAUAAAAAUAACCCUCGUUUACAUUUAAAAUGGUAUAGAUUAAAGAAUGUUACUUCAAAAUCGCAUUCGAUCUUCGAAGAAUGGGGAUAGCUGAGUACCAAAAUAAAAAUUUAUUAGAAAUCAUUUGAGAAUACUAGGAACUAAGAGCAUCUACAGCAGGUCAGAGAAGUCAGUAGCCGGACUAAAUUUAGUCCAUGAGUUUUUCUGGUGAAACUGGUGGACUAUAUCAAGGAACUAGAAUUUGAUCGACUAUAAUUUUAAAUAUAUUUAAAUGAGAGGGUGAAAUGAUGAUUAGUGGACUAUAUAUUCAUUAAAAAUAUUAUAAUCUUUUAAUAUUACCGUCCACAAAAUAGUCCAUCUGUUAAAAGGAUCAAAGACUAAAGGACAUCUGUUGAUGUCAUAUGGACUAAAUAUAGUCCAUAUGAUAGUCUAUCUACCGGAGAUGCUCUAACGUGAUGUUUGUUUUCUGGAAUUAUAUUUUUAAAACUAUUAAUUUUAAGAUUAAAUAGUUCUAGUCACGUAUUUGUUAGAGAUUAAUUAAAGAAAGAUAAGAUCAUUACGCUGCAUUAUAUAUCGGGGUUGACAUCGUGGAAAAUCUGCAUUCCAGCUUAGUCUGCUUAGAGCCAGCUUGUGGGAAUAUUGUUGGCAAGUGGUAAGUUUCUAUAGAACAAUAUAUAUAUACAAUAAAACAUGCAUGUAAGAUUAAGCAUAUAUAUAGCCCUCAAAAAGAGUAUCAUAUAUAAAUUAACUUUCA